rnacentral:rRNA from 1 species
UACGUAGGGCGCAAGCGUUGUCCGGAUUUAUUGGGCGUAAAGAGCUCGUAGGCGGUUUGUCGCGUCUUCCGUGAAAACUGGGGGCUUAACUUCCAGCUUGCGGUGGAUACGGGCUGACUGGAGUGCGGCAGGGGAGACUGGAAUUCCUGGUGUAGCGGUGAAAUGCGCAGAUAUCAGGAGGAACACCGGUGGCGAAGGCGGAUCUCUGGGCCUUACCUGACGCUGAGGAGCGAAAGCGUGGGGAGCGAACAGG